GCAGCCGCGGUAAUACGUAGGGUGCAAGCGUUAAUCGGAAUUACUGGGCGUAAAGCGUGCGCAGGCGGUUUGAAAAGUCAGCUGUGAAAGCCCCGGGCUCAACCUGGGAACUGCGGUUGAAACUCUCAAGCUAGAGUGCGUCAGAGGGGGGUGGAAUUCCACGUGUAGCAGUGAAAUGCGUAGAGAUGUGGAGGAACACCAAUGGCGAAGGCAGCCCCCUGGGAUGACACUGACGCUCAUGCACGAAAGCGUGGGGAGCAAACAGGAUUAGAUACCCUGGUAGUCCACGCCCUAAACGA
rnacentral:rRNA from 1 species